UUCAAACAAAAAGUGACACAAAAAUUGUGCAUGAACUAUAUGUUCUGUCUUUGAUUGCUUAUAUGGACUCAAUUUAGAGAAGAUAGACUCAAAUUCUUACUUCUCCCUCUCUUUCCUUCUCCUAUAUGCCCUUAUGGUUCCAGCAUGCAAUUUGGAAUUGAAGGCUACGGCAGUUACAGUGACAAAACGAUCUUGAUAGUAACCUCAACCUGUCGUGUUCAUCAUUUAAUUCCACUGAUCAAUAUGGUUAAUGAAGCGUGAGACCAAUUAUAUAUAGCGUUUCUGCAAAAUAUAUGGCGUUCUCUUGUCAAUCUUUAUUUUUCCCCUCAAACAAUUUAGAUGGCUUAUUUCACUACCGACACAGAUUUGUAGAGAUCUAGUUAGAGUGAACAAGACAAAAAAGAAGAGAGAGAGAGAGUGAUUCACUUAAACAGUCCAACUUUGGGUACAGAGGGUAAUAGA